rnacentral:ncRNA from 2 species
CGACACCGCGCGAGAGAGACCCCGCAACGGGGCGCCGACGGGGCAAUACUCCCCAGUAACCUCUCAGGCACCAUGGACCGCGUGGAGGAG